GAUGAACGCUGGCGGCGUGCCUAAUACAUGCAAGUCGAGCGAACAGACGAGGAGCUUGCUCCUCUGACGUUAGCGGCGGACGGGUGAGUAACACGUGGAUAACCUACCUAUAAGACUGGGAUAACUUCGGGAAACCGGAGCUAAUACCGGAUAAUAUAUUGAACCGCAUGGUUCAAUAGUGAAAGACGGUUGUGCUGUCACUUAUAGAUGGAUCCGCGCCGCAUUAGCUAGUUGGUAAGGUAACGGCUUACCAAGGCGACGAUGCGUAGCCGACCUGAGAGGGUGAUCGGCCACACUGGAACUGAGACACGGUCCAGACUCCUACGGGAGGCAGCAGUAGGGAAUCUUCCGCAAUGGGCGAAAGCCUGACGGAGCAACGCCGCGUGAGUGAUGAAGGUCUUCGGAUCGUAAAACUCUGUUAUUAGGGAAGAACAAAUGUGUAAGUAACUAUGCACGUCUUGACGGUACCUAAUCAGAAAGCCACGGCUAACUACGUG
rnacentral:rRNA from 1 species